rnacentral:rRNA from 1 species
UACGUAGGGUGCGAGCGUUGUCCGGAAUUAUUGGGCGUAAAGAGCUCGUAGGCGGUCCGUCACGUCGGGUGUGAAAAUCAGGGCUCAACCCUGGACCUGCACCCGAUACGGGCGGACUAGAGUUCGGUAGGGGAGACUGGAAUUCCUGGUGUAGCGGUGAAAUGCGCAGAUAUCAGGAGGAACACCGGUGGCGAAGGCGGCAUCCUGGACCGGCAUUGACGCUGAGGCGCGAAAGCUAGGGGAGCAAACGGG